AUGGCAAACUUCUCUUACUUUUGUUUCCCUACUACUGAACUGACAGAAAUAGAAGCAUGGAAGCUUUGUAAGCAAGAGAGGCUUGAACAGAUUAUGGACUCAGAUCUGGGUUGGAAUUGCUCAUACACUGAAAUGCAAGAAGAAAUGAAGUUUUUCAGGACUUGUUCCACAGAAUAUGAAGUGAUUUGUAUACAGGCAAAAGGUGGACAGACCAGCUGGAAAGCAGAAGAGAAUAACAGAAACAAGUUUUAAUUGCUCAAAACAAGAGAAAUUUAUUUAAAGAUGAAUCCCUGUGGAGGUUUUGUGAAGAAGGAUUAAAACCUUCAGACAUUGGACAGAAGACCUAAGCCAUGCACUCGGCAUAAAGGAGACCUAAUAUCCCUUCCUAGCUUUUAAAUUCCUUUUCACCCUUCACAGAACAUAGACCCACUCUAUUUCCUCUCUUCACUCCAGCAAAGCUGCUUUUCUAUAAAAGUCUGACAGACUUUAAAAACAAGGGUAUCCCCAUCACCCAUAAAAUAAGAAGACACAUCAAGGAAGUGCCUCACUUUAGAAAUUUUUCCACAGAAUUUGGAACUAUACAGCACAGAAAGAAGUCACUGCUGUCUGGUUUUGCUUUUUUUGUAGAGUUAUGAAUAGUUUCAGCUGCUCAUAAGAGAAAUGCUGCUGUUUAACAGCUACCCAAGCCUCCUCUCAUUUUGUAAGCACUUUUGUUUAUGCUGAAACAGGAAAAGAAAUUAUUUCAAACCAAUAAACAGCAUAAAUAAAAGGAACA
rnacentral:lncRNA from 1 species